rnacentral:tRNA from 1 species
UGUAUGUGGCUUAGUGGUAAAGUGCUUGCCUAGCAUGCAUGAAGCCCUGGGUUUAAUUCCUCAGUAUCACAU